rnacentral:rRNA from 1 species
UGGGGAAUAUUGCACAAUGGGCGAAAGCCUGAUGCAGCAACGCCGCGUGAGUGAUGAAGGCCUUCGGGUUGUAAAGCUCUGUCUUUUGGGACGAUAAUGACGGUACCAAAGGAGGAAGCCACGGCUAACUACGUGCCAGCAGCCGCGGUAAUACGUAGGUGGCAAGCGUUGUCCGGAUUUACUGGGCGUAAAGGAUGCGUAGGCGGAUUUUUAAGUGAGAUGUGAAAACCCUAAGCUUAACUUGGGGACUGCAUUUCAUACUGGAAAUCUAGAGUGCGGGAGAGGAGAAUGGAAUUCCUAGUGUAGCGGUGAAAUGCGUAGAGAUUAGGAAGAACACCAGUGGCGAAGGCGAUUCUCUGGACCGUAACUGACGCUGAGGCAUGAAAGCGUGGGUAGCAAAACAGGAUUAGAUACCCCUGGUAGUCCACGCCGUAAACGAUGAGUACUAGGUGUAGGAGGUAUCGACCCCUUCUGUGCCGCAGUUAACACAAUAAGUAUCUCCGCUGGGAAGUACGAUCGCAAGAUUAAAAACUCAAAUGAAUUGACGGGGGUCAUAGCUGUUUUUCCU